UACGUAGGGUGCAGGCGUUAAUCGGAAUUACUGGGCGUAAAGCGUGCGCAGGCGGCUCCUUAAGUCAGAUGUGAAAUCCCCGGGCUUAACCUGGGAACUGCGUUUGAAACUGAGGGGCUAGAGUGUGGAAGAGGGGGGUGGAAUUCCAGGUGUAGCGGUGAAAUGCGUAGAUAUCGGAAGGAACAUCAGUGGCGAAAGCGACUUCCUGGACCAAUACUGACGCUCAUGUGCGAAAGCGUGGGGAGCAAACAGG
rnacentral:rRNA from 1 species